rnacentral:rRNA from 1 species
GACGGGGGGGGCAAGUGUUCUUCGGAAUGACUGGGCGUAAAGGGCACGUAGGCGGUGAAUCGGGUUGAAAGUGAAAGUCGCCAAAAACUGGCGGAAUGCUCUCGAAACCAAUUCACUUGGGUGAGACAGAGGAGAGUGGAAUUUCGUGUGUAGGGGUGAAAUCCGCAAAUCUACGAAGGAAGGCCAAAAGCGAAGGCAGCUCUCUGGGUCCCUACCGACGCUGGGGUGCGAAAGCGUGGGGAUCAAACAGG